GGGGUUGUUCGACACUUCGGUGGUGGGAGUGUUACACGGAGGGGGAGCCAAGUGAGGGCAAGGAUUGUUGCCGAAUAUUUCAGCUGAAUGAUCACACAAACUGUGGACAACAACAACGGCAGACCUCUCCGCCCCCUUCCCCUUCCCAGUCCCCCUCCCCUUCUCACUCCCCCUCCCCUUCUCACUCCCCCUCCCCUUCCCAGUCCCCCUCAUCUUCCCAGUCCCCCUCAUCUUCCCAGUCCCCCUCAUCUUCCCAGUCCCCCUCAGCUUCCCUGGCCCACACCACUUUACACUCCCCUUCUCACCACACCUCUCCAUCUCUUUCUGGGACCCCUUCUCCUCCUUCCCAUACCCCUUCUCCUUCAACUUCUAAAUCACCAUCUCUGCCCCCCUCACCCUCUAUUGGCUUAACUUUCUCUCCGCCCCCCUCGCCCUCUCAAUCAGACCCCCCCUCUGAAAUUCCAGCACCAAUCCAG